CCAGCAACUAGGGUUGGGCCCUCAGUCCUGAGCUGAUUGUGUAAGAAGAGGAGGCAGCCAGAGGCUAAGCUCUUUCUCCAAAUGAUGGUCAAGGUGCAAAGAAAAAGGCAAACCAAAUGUUCUCAUCAGCUUAAAGAUUUUGGAAGAACAAGAACCCAUAUUUGAAGGUCAAAACAAUCAGAAGAGUGAUGCUCUACAAAAUAUCUUCUCAGAGAGAGGGAAGAGACUGUCUGAUUCUCUAUCAUUCCUGGUACAAAGUCUGCACUCUUGGAGAACUUUUGAGAGAAACGCUGAAAGAAGGGAGAAGGAAAAUGGAUCACGACUCUUCUUGGCUAUCCCUAAGAGAAUGGAGAGCAGCAUAAUAAAAA